CCUACGGGUGGCAGCAGUGGGGAAUAUUGGACAAUGGGGGCAACCCUGAUCCAGCCAUGCCGCGUGUGUGAAGAAGGCCCUCGGGUUGUAAAGCACUUUCAGUGAGGAAGAACGCCUGGUGGUUAAUACCCAUCAGGAAAGACAUCACUCACAGAAGAAGCACCGGCUAACUCCGUGCCAGCAGCCGCAGUAAUACGGAGGGUGCGAGCGUUAAUCGGAAUUACUGGGCGUAAAGCGCGCGUAGGUGGCUUGAUAAGCCGGUUGUGAAAGCCCCGGGCUCAACCUGGGAACGGCAUCCGGAACUGUCAAGCUAGAGUGCAGGAGAGGAAGGUAGAAUUCCCGGUGUAGCGGUGAAAUGCGUAGAGAUCGGGAGGAAUACCAGUGGCGAAGGCGGCCUUCUGGACUGACACUGACACUGAGGUGCGAAAGCGUGGGUAGCAAACAGGAUUAGAUACCCUGGUAGUC
rnacentral:rRNA from 1 species